GAAAAAAUGGGUCAAGACCGAUCAUAGGUGCUGGACUUAAGAUCCAGUGGCAUAGGCCUUCGGGAGUUCAAAUCUCCCUCCCUCCA
rnacentral:tRNA from 1 species